CCUCGAGUGGUCGUCAGUAUGUUAUGUUAAUGUGGCCCGCGUGUCUUUACCAAACGCGCUUUGGCCCGCAUGGGCUACCAUAGCAGGCAGCCAGCCAGGUUGCUAGGAAACGCAGCAAGCAACGGAGUGACACCAAGUGGAAGCGUAGCGUCACAUCAUGUCCCUCUCAAAACCCAGUGGGAAAAGAAAGGUUGACGAUGUCCACAGACAAUUUCAUGAAAGGUGGGAGUUAGAAUAUUUUUUUGUUGAGCACAGGGGAACCCCUACCUGCCUUGUAUGUGCUGAAAAAGUUGCCGUUGUCAAAGAAUACAACAUCAGACGCCAUUACUCAACGAGGCAUGCCGAGGAGUAUGCAAAAUACCGGGGAGAUGAGAGGGAGAAGCGAGUCACAGACCUAAAGAAAUGUUUCACCUGGCAACAAACUCUCUUUAGGAAACCAACCGACGAGGCUGAUAAAGCAGUAAAGGCCAGCUUUACACUGAGCGAAAUGAUCGCUAAGGCAGGAAAGCCUUUUACAGAAGGCGAGUUUAUUAAGGAGUGUAUGUUGCAGGCUGCGAGUAUUGUCUGCCCCGAAAAGAGAGCUCAGUUUGCCAGCAUCAGCUUGUCACCUAACACAGUGGCAGAGCGUGUUACCGAGCUGUCAGGUAACAUUUAUGAGGAAUUUAUGUUUAUAAUUACUGUUCAUGCACUUUGAGAUUGUUUAC